CCUACGGGCGGCUGCAGUGAGGAAUAUUGGUCAAUGGACGAGAGUCUGAACCAGCCAAGUAGCGUGAAGGAUGACUGCCCUAUGGGUUGUAAACUUCUUUUAUAUGGGAAUAAAAUGUUCCACGUGUGGGCUUUUGUAUGUACCAUAUGAAUAAGGAUCGGCUAACUCCGUGCCAGCAGCCGCGGUAAUACGGAGGUUCCGAGCGUUAUCCGGAUUUAUUGGGUUUAAAGGGAGCGUAGGUGGAUUGUUAAGUCAGUUGUGAAAGUUUGCGGCUCAACCGUAAAAUUGCAGUUGAAACUGGCAGUCUUGAGUACAGUAGAGGUGGGCGGAAUUCGUGGUGUAGCGGUGAAAUGCUUAGAUAUCACGAAGAACUCCGAUUGCGAAGGCAGCUCACUGGACUGCAACUGACACUGAGGCUCGAAAGUGUGGGUAUCAAACAGGAUUAGAUACCCUAGUAGUC
rnacentral:rRNA from 1 species